rnacentral:rRNA from 1 species
GAUGAACGCUGGCGGCGUGCCUAAUACAUGCAAGUCGAGCGAACAGACGAGGAGCUUGCUCCUCUGACGUUAGCGGCGGACGGGUGAGUAACACGUGGAUAACCUACCUAUAAGACUGGGAUAACUUCGGGAAACCGGAGCUAAUACCGGAUAAUAUAUUGAACCGCGUGGUUCAAUAGUGAAAGACGGUUUUGCUGUCACUUAUAGAUGGAUCCGCGCCGCAUUAACUAGUUGGUAAGGUAACGGCUUACCAAGGCAACGAUGCGUAGCCGACCUGAGAGGGUGAUCGGCCACACUGGAACUGAGACACGGUCCAGACUCCUACGGGAGGCAGCAGUAGGGAAUCUUCCGCAAUGGGCGAAAGCUUGACGGAGCAACGCCGCGUGAGUGAUGAAGGUCUUCGGAUCGUAAAACUCUGUUAUUAGGGAAGAACAAAUGUGUAAGUAACUAUGCACGUCUUGACGGUACCUAAUCAGAAAGCCACGGCUAACUACGUG